GAGGGUAUAGCUCAGUGGCAGAGUGUGUGCCUAGCCUGCAUGAGGUCCUGGGUUCAAUCCCCAGUACCUCCC
rfam:Camelus ferus unplaced genomic scaffold scaffold471, whole genome shotgun sequence.